GACUUGCUCCCUUGAGUCUUCCCUUUCUUCUGGCACAACUGCACUCACCGCAAUGAUAUUUGGGAGGUAAAUACAUUCCAUCCUUUACUGCUGGUUAGCCAUCACAUUUCCUUGGUUGUUUUAGGAAUUUGCAGCUCAUUCCAUACCUUUUUUGCUAUUUCAAAUGGGACUUUCUGGUCCAUCCCAACCUAAAUAACAGUCCUGAAAGUUAAGAGGUAAUAAUGGCUGUCUGAAGGUGCGGUUUGUUACAAAAUGAGCUGUAGGUGCACAAAUGAAGAAAAUACACGGGAGAAACAAAAGGUGAUAAUAUGGAAGUUAUUAGUGAUUGUAUAGCUUGAUGAGUUUGGGAAAGUGAAACAAUAGUAAAGCCUGAAAAGUAUUACCAUAUUUUCCUGAUUAUCUGCCUUUAUCUUGGACAGGUCUUUGCUUGUGGCAAAUGCU
rnacentral:misc_RNA from 1 species